rnacentral:tRNA from 1 species
UUGCAUAUACUGCAUAUAUCGUAGCUUGGACCAAUCAUGUUAACUCAUUUGGACAAAACCAUAUUUUUGUGAUGUAGAUGGAGAGGUUGUAUCACCUUGUUAUAGCCUCAUACAACCCAAUGUGGAGUUACUGUCCACUGUUUUAGCACCCCCAUACCACUCUGUUCAUGUUACUUUCAUGGUUCUUACCAAGUAACAUGAACUUACCCCAACACAUUAUGGCGUUUGGUGGCUUAACAUAUCUGUCUCCUGAUGCUCAAAAAAACCCAUUUUUACUCAGUGUAUCCUCAUCCUUAGUACUUAGCACAGUAUCAGGCUCAUCAGAGUUGACAGUCCAUAAAUACCCGUUGAAAUGGAUGAUCUAAUUUUAAUCCAAACAGGAGAGGGAAGAACAAACCACACCAUGUGCAAAUAUAAUUUCCAGGUAUACUGCUACAUUAGGUUGAAUCAAAAGAAAUUAGUGUUUGGUAUUUUCAAAAUACUAAGCAGAAAACCUCAGGAAUUUUACAAAACAUAUCAUCAAAAUCUAAAACUAUUAAUUUCUCAUAGUCUUGCUAUUCAUUUUCUGUUCAACAAAUAUUUGACACUUACGUGUAGGGCACUAUUUAGUACUAAGAGUCCUGGAGCUUGCAAAUGUGAACGAGCAAGCUUUGCUUCCUGCUAUUAAAGAGAUUAAUAGUCAAAAGUGGUGACUAGUCAUCACUCGCAUAAUCGGUGAAAACAUAAAAGGCGCCCAGUCCAACAGCUUUUCCCACAUUCCUCCCCGCCACCCACCUCCAGAAGGAGUCUUGCUUGGUCACCCAGGCUCACUGCAACCUCCGCCUCCCGGGUUCAAUCAAUUCUUCUGCCUCAGCCUCCGGAGUAGCUGGGAUUACAGGUGCACCCCACCAUGCCCAGCUAAUUUUUGUAUUUUCAGUAGAAAUGGGGUUUCACCAUGUUGGUCAGGCUGGUCUUGAACUCCUGACCUCGUGAUCCACCCACUUUGGCCUUCCAAAGUGCUAGGAUUACAGGUGUAAGCCACUGAGCCUGGCAGUCACACAUUCUUUCAACUGUUUGUUUCCACCUUUAUUAUAAAGUAUUUAUAAAGAGGGAUCCAGAGUCCCUCACCUGGUUCAGAAUCUUGGGUGACCCUUGGCAGGUCACUAACCCUGUGAGCCACAGCCACAUUUGUAAAAGUGGGAUAAUAGUCACACAUUGUGAGGUUGUUCACAGUGUUGGCACAUGGUAAGGGCUAAGACACUUGAUUAGCAUAAUAUUCAAAAUUAGAAAUUGUACACUAUUGUACUCUCUUUCAAAAGGCAAACAGCCUAAAACUGUUUGGAAAAAACAGCUUGUACAGUAUAUUGUACACUUCCUGUGAUAGACUAGUGGACUGAUACACCCACUAAUGCACAGCAGUAAUAGUCCACCUCUUUACACAUUAUGCAUGUUAAGUGACAAAAAAACUCACUUUAAAAGGCCAAAUGAUAAAAACAUCAGCCUUGAGGCUCUUCGAUAUAGAGUAAAUCAUAUCUUCCUGCAAACCAAGGAUUAGUAUCAUAAUACCUGAAAGAGGAAAACUUAAUUCUAACAUUCAAGAAAAUUGGCGGCAGGAAUACACCUCGGCUUCUAGUAGUCGGUAGUUUAAAAUACAGGAGGAAAAAAAAAAAGUUUGACCCCGACGUGAUUCGAACACGCAGCCUUCUGAUCUGGAGUCAGACGCGCUACCGUUGCGCCACGAGGUCCUGCUGGGCUGUGGCUCGCGCAGUUUCUUAGGACACCAGUAAAUGGCGUUUCUUCCAGGGGUUCCGCGCGCUGAGUUCGCGACCUCGAGUUGUAAUCUGGCGGGGCGCCACUAAGCCGGCGCAGGCCUUCGCAAGAUGGCGGCUGGAGGCAAGGGCAGAGGCCUUCAGAGCGUUUUCUUUUUCCCUUUCCUCCCUUCCUGCAAACAAUGUGGCUACAGUUUAACUGGAAGUGACAAACUGAGGAAACUGAGGCACUGGAAGAUGAAGGCUACAGAGGUAGAAAGUGAUGGAGGAGAUACAUCCAGAAGACUGCAUUACAAUUUCAAAUCAAAGCUGGACAAGUUUUUUUUUUUUUUUACACAGAUAUCACCAUGUUAGAAAAGUUGGACAAGUUUUGAAACCAUUCUGAACCUAUCAUUCCUGUCUUUCAAAUCCUUCCAAGGCAUCUUAUUAUUGAUUUGUUUCUAUAUUUUCCUCAUUAUUAAAGAGGUUGAGUAUCUUUUCUCUA